UAACGUGGCCUAACAAUGAGUAGGGAAAAGAAUCAGAAAAGAAAAAUAGUAACGAAGAGAAAAGGAAAAGGAAUCGGGGCGGGAACGAUGGAGAAGGCAGUGGAUGUUUCAUGCUCCCCCUUCAAGAUUCUGAUCGCAUCUCCAUCUGGUCUAACUCCAUCGCAGGUUUCUAUAGCUUUCAGCGACAAGUACGAUAGAAUUCCGCAUCCUGAUUCUAGCUUGGAGGAUUCCAUUACCGAGAUUUGGAAUCAACGGCUUCAGACAAACUCAUCAUUAUUCAAUGGAAAGAAGUUCAGAUAUGGAGGAUUCACAUUCCUUAGUGAAGGAGGUAGUUCGAAUGAAGAUCCUCAUGUACGUCUCCACUUAGGUUUGACAGAUUAUAGGACUUUUGUGGGAACGAACUUAAGUCCUUUGUGGGAAAGGUUCCUUGUUCCAUCAGAAGAUGACUCAAUCUCAUGUCAACACUCCUCAAGUCCUCUGGGUAACGGCGCUAUUGUGGAGACUUCAGAUGGGAAAAUAGUUUUGUUGAAGAGGAGUAAUAAUGUAGGAGAAUUCCCAGGUCACUUUGUAUUUCCUGGAGGCCAUCCAGAGCCCCAAGAGCUUGGAAUAGAAUCCCAUGACGAUGCAAAAGGUUUUGCAGAUCCCAAUACCAUUGACGAAAAGCUUUCACAGGAGAUGUUUAAUAGCAUUAUCCGGGAAGUUGUAGAAGAAAUUGGAGUACCACCAGAAUCCCUUUGCAACCCAGUUUUUAUUGGUGUAUCCCGCAGAGAAUUAAAUGUCAGACCAGCUGCUUUCUUCUUUAUGAAGUGUAGUCUGGAUUCUCUUGAAAUUCAGAAACUAUAUACCAGUGCACAAGAUGGCUAUGAGUCCACUCAACUUUAUACAGUUCCGUUGGUUGAUGUAGAGAACAUGACGUUGAAAAUGCCGGGCUGCCAUCAUGGCGGAUUUUAUCUCUACAAGCUGAUGCUACAAGCUGCCAAUGAUAAUAAUAUAACUGCUGAUUAGAUCAAGUUCUCAGCCUUUCCAAUAUUUCAUGGGAAUUAUCCAUGAUUAAACUCGGUGAACAUGUUGGAAAGCAGUGUAAGGCAAGUUUUGGGCUACCAGGAAUCUUAAUACGGAAGCUUCAACAAUAAUCAAACAACAAAGAUUAAUACAAGCCCACAAAGGUAUGCAUUAUCUUUCCUGGUAUAAACUGCUAGAUUAUCUGUUAUGCCUUUUAUCUUUUCCUUCAAAAAAUGGGUAAAAAUCUCACUAAGAAUUUUUAUUUUCUUGCCAUGUCAUUUCUACAUUGAAAAAAUAAGUAGGCGUAUCUAUUUAUUCAGUAUGUCGUCAAUACACCAAUAAAAAUGGACCAGAUAUAAAAGUAGGAAGAGGAGCUUCUACUUGUUGAUGGGAGGUGUAAGCAUGUUGCGUUCAUAAUCUUUCUUUCUCAUAUUUUAUUAGCAUUAUUAGUCAGCUUCAUAUUAAAAUACACGCAUUUAGAGCAACGUUUCUUUAUGAGUAUAGUAUUCUGGAGACAUGCUAGUCAAUACAAUAGUCCUAACACGUUGAGCUUAUUUUUAGGGAUUGUCAAAUUAGAUUAGCUGAUGGAUUAAGUUUUUCCAUCGUAAGAAAAUGGAAACAUUUGACUAUUCCAUAACCCCAUCAUUUAUAUCACCCCUCAAGUCAAGACUAUUUUCUAGAACUCAGAGACAAUAAUUUCAUCCCCAUCUUGGGUAAAUAUUAGGAGUGAACACCAAAACCUACCAAACCUAACUAGAUGACAAAUUUGAGUUGAAAAGAAUCCAAAAUUCCUUUAUUACUAAAUCAAGGUUUAGUUUGGUUUUCAAAUCCAAAACUGAAUUGAAGGGUUUAUAUAUAGAUAGCAUAGCUUAAUUAAGCCUGUGGUUUGGUUUGAAUCAAACAAACAGUUCACUUUAGUCAAACUGAAACUUUUUGUUUUUUUCAAAUAGUUGUGUGAGUGUCCAGGCCAACUUUCUUGCACUUCAUUUGAUCACAAACCACAUACCCAACUUACUCUUGCAUAGGAAAUUAAUUCUUUAUUGGAUUGAACUCAAAGCACUAGCCCAACUUACCGUGGUUGAAAUUUUCAAUUGGGUCAAAAAGACCCCUAUAAAUAUUCCAUAUAUAUAUGAGGCACAUCUUAAAUGUCAAGACUGGAUUGAUCAAAAUGCAAAGGCAUUUGUCUUGAGAGGGAAAGAAUGGAUAUCAGCAGCAGUUGUUUACUUUUGUGCAUUUGUUAAAAAUGAUCGAUCUAGCAAAAUCUCCCACUGAAAAAUUGGACUGCUUCAAGUAUGGAAAGCGACCAUUUAUUUGGUUUCUCACACUGAGCUUAGACAACAACACAACACAAGUAGAUGUAAGAUAAAGCAACCUUUAUUGGCCAAGUAAAGUCCAAAGUCAACAACGCAUUGCAAUAUUUUUAACAUAUGUGGACUUUUCUUUCCCCCAAUUUUUUAUUUCAUUUUAUUUUAUAUAAAAAUAAAUAAAUAAGAUAAUGCUUAUUUAUGAAUGAGCAUGGAGGGUCCCAUAAGGGGAAGUCACUUCAUCUUCAUAUGAAGUAAAUUGACCAAAUACGAAGAACAACCGUGCUUCCCACACGUGCGGUUUGUUGCCUUUCAAAAGAUUCCUUCCACAUUAUUAUGCGUGUAACGCACUAAUUUAGGAUCACAUUUGUUCUUAUUUUUUGUUCCUUUUUUUUUUUUUAUAGAAAAUACAACUUGCUUCUUCAACUAAUUAUAAAAACGUUCUUAACUUAGUUUUUUCUUGCAAAAGAUAAUUUAUUUUUCUUAUACCAUCCAUUUAUAUUAUUAUAUUCAUAAAUAUUUAGAUUCUGUUAGAUUAAAUCGUAGAAAAUACUUUUGAACUUCAAUAAUACCCUCCGGCCUUAUUUUAAGGGAAAAGAAAAAGUUCAGAUGUAUUUUUUUAUAAUAAUCCAAAAAGAUACCUUAACUUUGAAGUUAUCUUACAUAAGAAAUAAGUUGUUUGUAAAUAACCUUUGUGGUAAAAAUGAAGGGUUUCAAUCUAACCAAUAGGUUAUCGGUUCAAUCCAUGGUGAAUACUUACCUAGAAAUUAAUUUCUUAUAAGUUUUUCUUUAAAACUUUUUAAAAUGCAUUUAUGACAAAUUUCAUAGUUUAGUAUUAAACUUAUAAUAAAUUUACUAAAUAUCUUGAAAUGCAUUCAGAUGUCGAUAGUUUUCUUGCCACAUAUUACUGAUAUAAGUGUUAUGUAAGAAAACUUGCCAAUAUGUUUUAAAUCUAUUCAAAGAUGUUUGAUCUUUGAGGAGAUUUAACUAAAACUACAAGAAUCAGAUUUUACCCAAUAAAAAUGAUAAUGACAUAAAUGGUAAAUCGACCUAUUUUUAUCUAUUUUCAUCAAGAUUCUUGUGAUAUUAUUGGUGCAAAGAGUUGAGUUUUCCAGAUGAAUAUCAUUCAUGUUGGUAAGAAGACAAAGAAGAUUUGAGAUUAUCUAAAACUUUAUUCAUAAAAAGAGGAUUUUUUUUUCAGACAAUUUAAACUAUACUCGAUUUGACUUAAUUAUUAGCACAGAUUUUAUUUGUGUGAUCUUUAUGAAAAAUACACCAUAUUAAUGACGUGUAAAUGCAUCCUAAAACAUUAAAAUGUCGGGUUCUCAUGGAAACCAAGUGAAAAUUUAAUAGAAACGAGAUUUUGAUAAUUGUUAAAAGGAAUAUUUAUUUGCUUUCUUUAUUGAGAAUAAUAUUGCUUUAUUCAUAUAUAAGAUAAUACAGGAUUAUAAUUAAUUAUUGGCUAAACCAGAACAAAAACAAACACAAAGCAGCCCAUGUGAUUUAUUUGUCUCUUUUCCUAUCAGAAUCAUAAAAAUAAAUACUUUGUCCAUAAUAUUUUACCAACAUAUCCAUGCAAAAGUUUGAUGAAUAUAUAUAUAUAUAUAUAUAUAAUUGGGCAUUAAUUUCAGUAGCCAUGAUUCUCUUCUCUUAUUGAAGCUUAGUUCUGAAGUAUUUAAUACUUUCGGUCCUAUUUGCUGGCAACUCCCUCAAUUUGCAUACUAUUAUUUGUUUUCUUGUGAGUGCCUAACCACAAACCUUUUCUUCUUUUUGUAGUUUCUUCUCUUUGUUUAUGACUGUCAGUAAAACAAGCUUAAUAUAUUGAAUAAUUACA